rnacentral:rRNA from 1 species
GACGAACGCUGGCGGCGCGCUUAACACAUGCAAGUCGAGCGAGAACCAGUCCUUCGGGACUGGGGAAAGCGGCGAACGGGUGAGUAACACGUGGGUAAUCUGCCCUCGGCACUGGGAUAGCCCGGGGAAACCCGGAUUAAUACCGGACAGCCUUUCGAGCCUUCGGGCUCGCCAGAAAAGGUGGCUUCGGCUUCCGGCUGAGGAUGAGCCCGCGGCGGAUUAGCUUGUUGGUGGGGUAAUGGCCUACCAAGGCGACGAUCCGUAGCUGGUCUGAGAGGACGAUCAGCCACACUGGGACUGAGACACGGCCCAGACUCCUACGGGAGGCAGCAGUGGGGAAUCUUGCGCAAUGGGCGAAAGCCUGACGCAGCGACGCCGCGUGCGGGAAGAAGGCCUUCGGGUUGUAAACCGCUUUCAGGAGGGACGAAGCCACUCGGGUUAAUAGCCCAGAGGGUGACGGUACCUCCAGAAGAAGCCCCGGCUAACUACGUGCCAGCCGCCGCGGUAA